rnacentral:lncRNA from 1 species
UUGUAUUCAUUCCAUUUCCACUAGAAGGCCAACAAUGAAUCAGGUUGUGAUUGAACUGAACGAUUGUUUAGCAAUGGAAAUAGCUCGUACAAAGGCGCACGAGACUGCACCAGAUGGAACUCCUGAUGAAUUGAUGAUAGAUUUGAAUCUGCACAGUGAUGUAUUUCCCUUAGCUAGAUAGUAAUUUGCUCAAUAUAUAACUUGCUUCAGUUUCUUUUAUUUGUAUCCAAUCGUGUCUGAUGUUUGUGACCCUCUUAUUUCUGUGUUAUAUUGUACUAGUAUCAGUGAUUUUAACUUUUUAGUUUGGUUAAUGUACUUCUUAUCAAAAACCGAAUUUUACUAUUAUGCCUGUGUUGAAGGAUCAUUUCUUCUUCAUUAAAUAUAUUUUACGAUGAGACACAUUAGUGGAAGUGACGGAUCCCCCUAAGUUACAUACAUGUAAUUUACAACUCUCUCACAUUAAUAGUGAAUGGUGUGGGUCCACUCACUAUUUUAGCAUUAGCCUUUAUUUGAAUACUACAAAGAUUCUGAAUUCUGAUGAUUGGGCGGGCUAGUCUUAGGGUCUUAUAGCCCAAACAACCAAAGUGGGCUAGAGCCCAUUUUUAGGAAAGCCCAAUGUGAUGAAGUGGGCUUGUUGUGAUUCCAUCAUCCAAACAACGACUUCUUCCCCAUUAACCCAACCCAUCAAAAUUUUAAAUAAAAAAAAAAAAAGAGAAAAGUUCCCACCCGAAAUGACUUUAAAAAAAUAUAUAUAUUCAGAAAUGUUUUAAGUUUCUCAGGGCAUUUGCCUUUCACCAAUGGUGCGUCGGUAUGUGUAUAGGAAAUAGUCUACCUAAAAAUCUAAAGCAAAUGUGGCUCCAAAAUGAUAACUGGGCAAUCUCCCAAAAAAGCAAAUCCUCAAGUAAAGCCUAACAAAAAGGUCCAAUAAAAUAAAAGUAAAAGUGACAAACCCAUGAAAAGAGUAGCAAAAAAGAGCACCUACCGAAGUAGUUUGAUCGACAACUGGUUGGUGCCCAAAUCUCCGUAUCUUCCAUCACUUCCCAAUAUCCACAAUAAAUAGAUAAAUUAUUUAAUAUUUAAAUUUAUAAAAUAAAUGGGUAUGCACAGCAUAG